CUUUCUCUAUUAUCUUUGAUUUGUGUUGUGUUUUUUGAAGUUUAUUAGUCCUGUGAAUUUCUCCUUUUUUCUAAAGAUGGUAUCUGCCCUAGAGGCAGUCUUUCUGUAUUUCUUAUGGUCAGGUAUUUAUUGACUUCAUGUAUGGGUUUAUUAAAUUCGGUGUUUCUUAUUCAGAUAUUUAUUUUCUUGAUCUAUUUAAUAUAUUCCGUCCUCUGGAAACUAGAAUAAAUAGAAACAUCUGAUGAUGUAAACUCAUCUCUAUCCAGAUGACAGAUCCAUGUUCUGUUAGUCCAUAGGAUCUUCAUAGAAUUUCCAGGUUCGUAUGCCAUAUUUAAUUAUUUCUUAAAAACACUUAUAUAUGCCUUCAAAUUCGCUUCUUUUCAGUUUAGCUCAGAUGAUACAAUUGGAGAAGCCAUGAAUCUAAAAUUCAAUUCUGAUUCUGUGUUUUUUAAAUUUUAUGGGACUAAUUUGAGGCCACUUGGACUAUUAGCCAACAGAGUCAUUGCAGAUUGAAGUUCUUCUAAGACUGUUUUACCCAGUUUAGUUAAAUGGUUGUCUCUUGCACAAUUGGGAGCAACAAGGGGUCAGAGUUCUCAGGAAUGCAAAGUAGUCCAGGGGAAACCGGUUAUGGCAAAAAUGAUGGUAUAAGAAUUUUCAUGUCAUAUUCUUGGUAAAGUGGAAGGAAAUGAAGAAACUGGUCUGCAGUGUCUUCCACCUUACCUUGCCUUCCAUUCUAAACUUCCCUAUGAUUCUCUCCAUCUCUCUCUCUCUCUCUCUCUCUCUGCUACCAAGAAGUGAAU
rnacentral:lncRNA from 1 species